rnacentral:rRNA from 1 species
GACGAACACUGGCGGCGUGCCUAAUACAUGCAAGUCGAACGAGAGCGACCGGUGCUUGCACUGGUCAAUCUAGUGGCGAACGGGUGAGUAACACGUGGGUAACCUGCCCAUCAGAGGGGGAUAACAUCCGGAAACGGAUGCUAAAACCGCAUAGGUCUUCGAACCGCAUGGUUUGAAGAGGAAAAGAGGCGCAAGCUUCUGCUGAUGGAUGGACCCGCGGUGCAUUAGCUAGUUGGUGAGGUAACGGCUCACCAAGGCCGUGAUGCAUAGCCGACCUGAGAGGGUGAUCGGCCACAUUGGGACUGAGACACGGCCCAAACUCCUACGGGAGGCAGCAGUAGGGAAUCUUCCGCAAUGGACGCAAGUCUGACGGAGCAACGCCGCGUGAGUGAAGAAGGUUUUCGGAUCGUAAAACUCUGUUGUUAGAGAAGAACAAGUGCUAGAGUAACUGUUAGCGCCUUGACGGUAUCUAACCAGAAAGCCACGGCUAACUACGUGCCAGCAGCCGCGGUAAUACGUAGGUGGCAAGCGUUGUCCGGAUUUAUUGGGCGUAAAGCGAGCGCAGGCGGUUCCUUAAGUCUGAUGUGAAAGCCCCCGGCUCAACCGGGGAGGGUCAUUGGAAACUGGGGAACUUGAGUGCAGAAGAGGAGAGUGGAAUUCCAUGUGUAGCGGUGAAAUGCGUAGAUAUAUGGAGGAACACCAGUGGCGAAGGCGACUCUCUGGUCUGUAACUGACGCUGAGGCUCGAAAGCGUGGGUAGCAAGCAGG